rnacentral:rRNA from 1 species
UACGUAGGGUGCAAGCGUUGUCCGGAAUUAUUGGGCGUAAAGAGCUCGUAGGCGGUCUGUCGCGUCGGUCGUGAAAACUUGGGGCUUAACCCUGAGCUUGCGGUCGAUACGGGCAUGACUGGAGUUCGGUAGGGGAGACUGGAAUUCCUGGUGUAGCGGUGAAAUGCGCAGAUAUCAGGAGGAACACCGGUGGCGAAAGCGGCUCUCUGGGACGGUACUGACGCUGAGACGCGAAAGCGUGGGGAGCGAACAGG